UGUCUUCGGAAAAUCUCACACAUAGAUGUGAGGAGUUCGCAGAGGAUGGCUUGCUUGAUUUGCAUCUUAAACUCACUGGUUUCUCAUUCUGUGGAGAAUGGACUACAAGAGAGCAGGGGUGGGGGCAAGGAUCUUGCAAACUGUUUAAUUCUGGGAACAUCCUGGAGCUGGGCACUGGGGGGACAGGGAGGAGUCAGAGUAGAUUCGCUAGGAAGUGGGGUGGAUACUAGGUCAGUUGUGUGCAUUUCAACCAGAUAAUAUCAGCAGAAGUCCGAGGAGGAGGUGAAGAAACCUGGCAGGAAGAUCCGGGCUGUGUUUUGACAGCAGAGAAGCAGAGGAAAGGGGCAGAUCUAGGCAGCAAGUGUAUGGGUUGCAACUAUUGAGUCUCCGGCCGCUGGAGCUAAGGCUGAAGAGGUUGACCAAUGCCGGAUAUUAAGCACAAGGCAAAGGGUUCUAAGGUCUGAAGGAGACUCACAUGGAGUGAGCUUGAACAUCUUUGCCUACAUGAAGUCGUGUGUUCUUCCUCUGCUACAAACUGUUGAGACUCCUUCUAGGUUGUCCUUACAAGUUGUUCCCAACAUUUUGCUGUUACAAUCAGUGUUGCAGUGAACCGCCUAGUGUCAAACCUUUCAUCGACUCGUUCACUCCCGUGUGACCAAGUCCCAUGGGUGGAACUGCCACAUCGGUGCUGUGUACCUUCUGAAGACUUCUGACCUGGAUGGUCAGACAGCUCCCCAGGAAGGCUGGUCCGAGUUUCGGCACAGGAUGGGCCUGAAGUACCAUACCGGAGCCCUUAGGGAAGAGCACUUUCUUUUCUUUGUUUUCUAAUUUUAAGUUUUUAAUUUCAAUUCCAGUGUAGUUAACAUACGGUGUUAUAUUCAUUUCAGGUGUACAAUACAGUGAUUCAACACUUCCAUACGUUACUCAGUGCUCAUCCUGGUAAGUGGGCUCCAUGUGUAACGUGGGGCUUGAACUCACGACCUUGAGAUUGAGAGUCUCAUGCAAUCCCCAUCACCUAUUUCACCCAUGCCCACCCCUCCCUCUGGUAACCAUCUGU